UACGUAGGGUGCAAGCGUUAAUCGGAAUUACUGGGCGUAAAGCGUGCGCAGGCGGCUAUGCAAGACAGAUGUGAAAUCCCCGGGCUCAACCUGGGAACUGCAUUUGUGACUGCAUGGCUAGAGUACGGUAGAGGGGGAUGGAAUUCCGCGUGUAGCAGUGAAAUGCGUAGAUAUGCGGAGGAACACCGAUGGCGAAGGCAAUCCCCUGGGCCUGUACUGACGCUCAUGCACGAAAGCGUGGGGAGCAAACAGG
rnacentral:rRNA from 1 species